AAUUCAGAGCAUAGUUCUGGGUCAGCAGGGCUGUGGAUAUGGUCUCUCAGCAUCUCCCCGAAGUGCUUGUUCCUGACAGGCUACUGCUAGGCACUGCACUGUGAGUGAUGAGCAGAGGAGGUUGCUCUGACAAGAUGAAGGAACUGAGGCAGGAUUCUCUGCUUCAUGGAUCCAUUGUAUGGCAUCUGGAAAGGCCCAUGGAGAUGAAGAACACACUGGCAGGGAACAUGGGAGAGAGCAAAACUCCCCUGGUGACAUGUGGAAGCAAGAGACCACAAAGGAACCAAAGCAGACAACAUUGCCAAAGCUACCAUCUGCCUGUGCAUCAUGGGAUGGAAUGGAGGCAAACCAGGGACUCCAAGCAACCUCGGUGGGCACACUGUGAAUUCCUACAUGUUUGAAAGGAAGUCUGUAGUCCUCUCCCAACAAUCUGUGGGUCUGUCUGUCUGUCUGUCUAUAAGCAUGCAUGCUUUCUGUGUCAUCCUCAGAACCUCACUUUUCAGGCAAACAUCCCAACACCUGAGAAACAACUUGAGAUCCUGUCUUAGGUCGGCCAUGUCUCCCAUCACUGUCUGAAAUGAAUCCAGCCUUGCCGUGUCCCUUGACUGAAGUCUGGAAAGACACUAGGCUGAGAGUAGCCAGUUCAGCUCCCUACACUUCUGACCUGCAGGCUGUCAUAGAAAACAACGGUUCUUAUAAUCGAUUACUAAAUAUUGUAAUUUGUUUAACUGGAAAAAAAAGUCAAAUGCAACUAUCAAAAAUGGACCAUUUAGCAGAGGAAAAUGUGGAAUGUGGUUAGGAAAUGGGGAUUUCAACAAGAAUUACAGGGAUCAAACUCGGGCAGUCGGACUUGCAAAGCCAGCAGCAUCUUUAGUUGCUAAGCCACUCCCUACUCUUUCUCAUUUGUGCUGAAUUCAGUGUUUUGUUUGGGAUUAAGUUUUUCCCCACUUAAUGUGUAAUUGUGCAUACAUAUAUAAAUACAUGUGAGUUUACAGAUGUAUGAAUAUGUAUGUAUUUACGUAUAUUUAAAUGUAAGUAUAUAUCCUGAACGAAGUGCUGAAGGCUCCAUACCUUUUCGAUGAAUGAAUUUUGAGUGGAGGGGUGGGGAUGGGGGAGGAACCGAGUUGUGCUUAGGCUGUGGAGAGGCUGAACCAUUUCGAUGUCCUGUACUGCUGCCACCUAAGGCCAUGUUGAUGUCUAUGGUCCGGGCUGCCACCAGGGGCCGUGUCUGGGUCCCUGGUCCUGCUGCUGUGUCCACGGCCCCUGUGGCCUUUGUUACCACUGAAGGCCAUGUUGAUGUCUGUGGGCUGGGUUGUCUGGGAGGACUAUGUUGGUGCCCAUGACCCUUACUGCCACUGGAGACCAUGCUGAGUCUGUGGAACAUGCUGGCACCGGAGGCCGGGUGGAUGUCAUCAUCCGUGCUUCCAGCAGAUACCAUGUGGAGGUUCGUGAUCCGUGCUUCCGCUGACUGUAAAGGACAAGGAAGCUUCCUCUUUAGUGGUCCUGAGGACUGCAGACUCACAGUUGACAAAGAGGGACAUAGAAAGGUUCAGUGACAACACCUAACCUCCACCUGCAUCCCCCAAAAAGUAACAGUCUAAAUAGGAAACCAUCGAGAGAACUUUUAAAAAUUGUGAUAAGGACACUGAAAUGUAGCUCUCCACAAAUGGAUGGCACAGGAGAGGAGAGGGGAGGGGAAGGCCCACUCCUCUUUAAGGGACUGGCUACCAGGAGUUUGACUGUACUGCAGUGACUACAUGGACAAAAAAAUAGGAGAGAGGAGGCCACAUUGGUGGGUAAUGUGUGUGUGCAUGAGGGCGUGGGAGGGCUGGUAAGUAAGGAUGAUCAGGGUACAUUGUGUGAAAUUCCCAAUAAUCAAUGAAAAAUUAUGUUUAAAAGUGGAAAAAAUAAAAAUAAAGUGUGAGAAAUAAA